GAUGAAGAACGUAGCGAAAUGCGAUACUAGGUGUGAAUUGCAGAAUCCCGUGAACCAUCGAGUCUUUGAACGCAAGUUGCGCCCGAAGCCACUAGGCCGAGGGCACGCCUGCCUGGGCGUCACACGCCGUUGCCCCCCCAUCUACUCCUUCGGGAUUGCGGGGGGGCGGAUGAUGGCCUCCUGUGCGCCUAGCCGCGCGGUUGGCAUAAAUACCAAGUCCUCGGCGACGCACGCCACGACAAUCGGUGGUUGCGAAACCUCGGUUGCCCGUCGUGUGCGUUCGUCGCGCAUCGAGGGCUCGAAAAAAUGCUCGGCUCCGGCUGGGCUUUCAACGCGACCCCAGGUCAGGCGGGGUUACCCGCUGAAUUUAAGCAUAUCAAUAAGCGGAGGA
rnacentral:misc_RNA from 1 species